rnacentral:rRNA from 1 species
UACGUAGGUGGCAAGCGUUGUCCGGAAUUAUUGGGCGUAAAGCGCGCGCAGGUGGUUUCUUAAGUCUGAUGUGAAAGCCCACGGCUCAACCGUGGAGGGUCAUUGGAAACUGGGAGACUUGAGUGCAGAAGAGGAUAGUGGAAUUCCAAGUGUAGCGGUGAAAUGCGUAGAGAUUUGGAGGAACACCAGUGGCGAAGGCGACUAUCUGGUCUGUAACUGACACUGAGGCUCGAAAGCGUGGGUAGCAAACAGG